rnacentral:rRNA from 1 species
UACGUAGGGUGCAAGCGUUGCCCGGAUUUAUUGGGCGUAAAGGGCGCGUAGGCGGCUCGGCACGUCCGUUGUGAAAUCGCCCGGCUCAACUGGGCGGGGUCAGCGGAUACGGCCGAGCUUGAGCAAGCUAGGGGGCAAUGGAAUUCCCGGUGUAGCGGUGAAAUGCGUAGAUAUCGGGAGGAACAUCAGUGGCGAAGGCGGCCUUCUGGUCCAGUACUGACACUCAAGUGCGAAAGCGUGGGGAGCAAACAGG